rnacentral:rRNA from 1 species
UAAGAGGUCUCGCCUGCCCGGUGACAUUAGUUUUAACGGCCGCGGUAUUUUGACCGUGCGAAGGUAGCGCAAUCACUUGUCUUUUAAAUGAAGACCCGUAUGAAUGGCAAAACGAGGGCAUAACUGUCUCCCCCUUUUAACCAAUGAAAUUGAUCUCCCCGUGCAGAAGCGGGGGUAAUACCAUAAGACGAGAAGACCCUAUGGAGCUUUAGACAAAAGCCAGGCCACGACCAUCAUUUUCAACUAAAACAAAGAACCAACUACGCACUGUCCUCCUGUCUUCGGUUGGGGUGACCAUGGAGAAUAAAAAAACCUCCACGCGGAAAAAGACUAUUUUCUUUAAACCAUGAGCCACAGCUCUAAGCAACAAAACCUUUGACUAAAUGAUCCGGCAACGCCGAUCAACGAACCAAGUUACCCUAGGGAUAACAGCGCAAUCUUCUUUUAGAGUCCAUAUCGACAAGAAGGUUUACGACCUCGAUGUUGGAUCAGGACAUCCUAAUGGUGCAGCCGCUAUUAAGGGUUUGUUUGUUCAACAAUUAACAGUCC